UGUUUUACUUAAAUGACUUGUGCUAUUCAAUGUGGUGGUUUUAGAUUUAUAGUUCUUUUUACUAAUUUAUAUUUUAUUUCUUUUUUCUUUUUGUGAUCUAAGGCCGUGGAAAACUGAAGUUAUCUCAAAGAAAGACUUGGCAAGAGUGUAGCUGGAAGUAUCAAAGAGUAAGUUCAGAGUAUGGCAUAGGAAUGGAGGUGUCAACAAGUGGCGACAUCUAUAGCUAUGAAAUCCUGCUAUUUGAGAUGUUGAUAGGCAAAAGAUUGACAGAUGACAUGUUUAAAGACGGCCUGAACCUGCAUAAAUUGGUCAGAUAAGGCUUUGGCCUCCUUAUCCUAUUGGAUGGUGAUCAGAGCUGAGUCUUCUAGCCAUCCCGGUCAGCCAGCUUUUGAGCAAGCACUUGGAGCCUAUUAUUGAAGGGGAGCUUUUGAACGAGCACAUGGACACUAUUGAAGAGG